GGCAUCCAGGGAUCCCUCAGCUGAGUGGUUCGGUCUCAGGGUGUCCCUCAUGAGUCUGCAGUCAAGUUAUCAGGUCAUCCCUACUUUUAAUGGGAUUGGACUAAAAGAGACAUGAGUGAAUACUAGCAUGUGAGAAGCAGGGGUUGUCACCAUGGACUCUGGGUACCACACAUCAGAGGCAUGCAGGUGAAGAUUCUGAUGAGCUACAGGUACCUACUCACUAGAGUGACAACAAUGGAAAACUCCCAACAGGCCAAGUGUUCUUAGCAAGGAUGAAGAGCACCUGGAACUCUUACACAUGCUAGGAACGUAAUAUGGUAUGAUAUGUCCUCCAAUCUUCAAUUUGGGAAGAUACAGGAAAUGAGACACGAGAGACAUCGAGAGUGCAAAAAGUUAAAAACCACCAGAGAUGUAUGUACGGCAUGACCCGAGAAACCUCAGACACUCACGUUUAUCUGCAUUCAUCGGCACAUUCACUGCAUUUUCUUCCUGUGAGCUAGAACAAGAGGAAUCCAAGCCAUAUAUGUGAAAAUGAGAGGGGCAUUGUUUUAUUUGCCCAGAGGCCAACAGCUUCUUCAGGAUUCUCCACAUCCCAUCCUGUCCAACCCACUACUUCCGGUCUUUGGAAGGACCUAUCUGAAGAACCCUGGACUCCUAGCAACCAUGGAGAAUAGCAAGACGAGCCUGCAGCCUUCCCUGUCUCUUCCUUCAAGUCCAUUGAGCCAGCGCCUUGGAGUUGGUCCCAGCCUUCUAAAGAAAGUCACAUUUGAAUUCUCUUGUUAGAAUUAGAACAUGAUUUCUAGGAGAGUCCCUGAUCUUUCACUAUAUCCCUUCACCUUCAGGGCAAAGCCAGUGGGGUAUGGCACUUCCAGCUAUGACUAUUAGCCCUCAUGCCAGAGACUCCUCUCUGCACCUCAUUGUCUGUAAAACAGAAGGGUUGGAUUUGAUGGUCUUUUUAAACUCUAUGGGAAUCUUUUGGGCACUGACUCCUUCCAACUGCCCGGCCCUACUUCUCUUCUGAAGACUCUGCAUUAAAGCAUUUCUCUGCUUUUAGAA